rnacentral:pre_miRNA from 1 species
GCCACACCCUUCUGGGGCAAGACUUGCUUCAGUGGGGCUUUGGUGCUCACUGAGUCUGCCCCCUGAAUGUGUCCCU